rnacentral:rRNA from 1 species
GACGAACGCUGGCGGCGUGCUUAACACAUGCAAGUCGAACGGAAAGGCCCUGCUUCUGUGGGGUGCUCGAGUGGCGAACGGGUGGGUAACACGUGAGUAACCUGCCCUUGACUUUGGGAUAACUUCAGGAAACUGGGGCUAAUACCGGAUAGGAGCUCCUGCUGCAUGGUGGGGGUUGGAAAGUUUCGGCGGUUGGGGAUGGACUCGCGGCUUAUCAGCUUGUUGGUGGGGUAGUGGCUUACCAAGGCUUUGACGGGUAGCCGGCCUGAGAGGGUGACCGGCCACAUUGGGACUGAGAUACGGCCCAGACUCCUACGGGAGGCAGCAGUGGGGAAUAUUGCACAAUGGGCGGAAGCCUGAUGCAGCAACGCCGCGUGCGGGAUGACGGCCUUCGGGUUGUAAACCGCUUUCGCCUGUGACGAAGCGUGAGUGACGGUAAUGGGUAAAGAAGCACCGGCUAACUACGUG